rnacentral:rRNA from 1 species
GCCCUUAUGGCUGUCGUCAGCUCGUGUCGUGAGAUGUUGGGUUAAGUCCCGCAACGAGCGCAACCCUUGUCAUUAAUUGCCAUCAUUUAGUUGGGCACUUUAAUGAGACUGCCGGUGACAAACCGGAGGAAGGUGGGGAUGACGUCAAGUCCUCAUGGCCCUUAUGGGUAGGGCUUCACACGUAAUACAAUGGCGCGUACAGAGGGUUGCCAACCCGCGAGGGGGAGCCAAUCUCAGAAAGCGCGUCGUAGUCCGGAUCGGAGUCUGCAACUCGACUCCGUGAAGUCGGAAUCGCUAGUAAUCGCGGAUCAGCAUGUCGCGGUGAAUACGUUCCCGGGUCUU